ACACCGGCAGCUCUAGUGGUAGCUGUUUUUAUUGGGCCUAAAGCGUUCGUAGCCGGUUUAAUAAGUCUUUGGUGAAAUCCUGUAGCUUAACUAUGGGAAUUGCUGAGGAUACUGUUAGGCUUGAGGUCGGGAGAGGUUAGCGGUACUCCCAGGGUAGGGGUGAAAUCCUGUAAUCCUGGGAGGACCACCUGUGGCGAAGGCGGCUAACUGGAACGAACCUGACGGUGAGGGACGAAAGCUAGGGGCGCGAACCGGAUUAGAUACCCGGGUAGUCCUAGCCGUAAACGAUGCGGACUGGGUGUUGGGAUGGCUUUGAGCUGUUCCGGUGCCGAAGGGAAGCUGUUAAGUCCGCCGCCUGGGAAGUACGGUCGCAAGACUGAA
rnacentral:rRNA from 1 species